rnacentral:rRNA from 1 species
GCCUAAUACAUGCAAGUCGAACGCACUCUCGUUUAGAUUGAAGGAGCUUGCUCCUGAUUGAUAAACAUUUGAGUGAGUGGCGGACGGGUGAGUAACACGUGGGUAACCUGCCCUAAAGUGGGGGAUAACAUUUGGAAACAGAUGCUAAUACCGCAUAAAACCUAACACCGCAUGGUGUAGGGUUGAAAGAUGGUUUCGGCUAUCACUUUAGGAUGGACCCCGCGGUGCAUUAGUUAGUUGGUGAGGUAAAGGCUCACCAAGACCGUGAUGCAUAGCCGACCUGAGAGGUAAUCGGCCACACUGGGACUGAGACACGGCCCAGACUCCUACGGGAGGCAGCAGUAGGGAAUCUUCCACAAUGGACGAAAGUCUGAUGGAGCAACGCCGCGUGAGUGAAGAAGGUUUUCGGAUCGUAAAACUCUGUUGUUGGAGAAGAAUGUAUCUGAUAGUAACUGAUCAGGUAGUGACGGUAUCCAACCAGAAAGCCACGGCUAACUACGUG